rnacentral:rRNA from 1 species
CUGCUGCCUUCCGUAGGAGUCUGGUCCGUGUCUCAGUACCAGUGUGGGGGACCUUCCUCUCAGAACCCCUACGCAUCGUCGCCUUGGUGGGCCGUUACCCCGCCAACUAGCUAAUGCGACGCAUGACCAUCCGUAGCCGGAAUCGCUUCCUUUAAACCCGAGGAGAUGCCUCCUCGGGUUGUUACGCGGUAUUAGACGGAAUUUCUUCCGCUUAUCCCCCUGCUACGGGCAGGUUUCAUACGUGUUACUCACCCGUGCGCCGGUCGCCGGCGGGAGUA